rnacentral:rRNA from 1 species
UACAGAGGUCUCAAGCGUUUGUUCGGAUUCAUUGGGCGUAAAGGGCGCGUAGGCUGCGGGGCAAGUCGGGUGUGAAAUCUCAGAGCUCAACUCUGAAACUGCACUCGAUACUGCUUUGCUUGAGGACUGGAGAGGAGAUUGGAAUUCACGGUGUAGCAGUGAAAUGCGUAGAUAUCGUGAGGAAGACCAGUGGCGAAAGGCGGAUCUCUGGACAGUUCCUGACGCUGAGGCGCGAAGGCCAGGGGAGCAAAACGGGG